rnacentral:rRNA from 1 species
UACGAAGGGUGCAAGCGUUACUCGGAAUUACUGGGCGUAAAGCGUGCGUAGGUGGUUUGUUAAGUCUGAUGUGAAAGCCCUGGGCUCAACCUGGGAAUUGCAUUGGAUACUGGCAGGCUAGAGUGCGGUAGAGGAUGGCGGAAUUCCCGGUGUAGUGGUGAAAUGCGUAGAGAUCGGGAGGAACACCCGUGGCGAAGGCGGCCACCUGGGCCGACCCUGACGCUGAGGCGCGAAGGCGUGGGGAGCGAACGGG